UCCCUGAGCUGCCUCCUGUCUGGCUCACAGGACAGGAAAAAGAGAAAGACUGAAAAGCACGGGGAGCUGCACAGGGAGGGAAUUAGGAGCACCAAGAGGAGACAGCACAAGAGAGCUGGGGGAGGCAAUGGAGUACAGGGAAGACCUAGGAGAGCUGCAGCCGAGGCUAUGGCACCGACCUCACAAGAAACCUGGUUCCUCUGCUGUGCUCCUGCAGUAGCCCCGUCUCACCCCACACUCCUGGGGUCAGCUCCUAGGAGAGCCUGACGCCUGCUUCCUAUCUCCAGUUUGCUGGCUACCAAGGGCUCGGAUGGAGAGCAGCCAACUGGAACUCCUGAUGGACCAACACACCCACCUGGAGGUCCUCAGGUGGAGGACACCAAACCCUCCCAUGAGGAAGAUGGAAUAGAUAAAGCCCACCAGCUUGUUGUGCUGCUCCUGCCUGCCUCCUCCUUCCUCUGUUUUUUUUCUGUGCUUUGUUUGGAAAGUGGGUGCAAGCUCAUAGAGUGCUGGGGGUCCUCCUUCCUGCAGCUGUGGUGAGUGUCCCCAACUCCUCCCAGGUGGGGGCAGAUGUGGGUGCAGGCAGCAGUGUGUCUGUGUGCUCUUAGAGAUGUGGGCUGAGGUCGCCUGCAGUGGGCCUGAGCCAUCUCCUGUGAGAUGUCUGAGAGCUGGCAAGUCUUUCACACCCACAUGGGCCUGACAAGGAAACGAAGAGGCAAAUCCAAAACAUUGCAUCAUGAACAACUGUGUUAAAGCCCUUCCUAGAGUAAACCUACUGACUUCAACACAUGAACUUUCCCCGCAUGCCUUAUGAACGUCAGCUCAGCAGCUCGAGAGUUGAAAGAGUUUUUUGGGCAGGAGGCAAAACACGAGGUGGGAGAUCCCACUUGCGCUGCUGGGCACAGCAGAACAACGGAGACGUCAAGGUCCCUUCUCAGCGUAAGAGGGAUGUUACUGGGAAAUGGGCACUUGAGCGACAUUCACCCUCAACUCACCAACUUCUGCCUGGGUGACCCUGGCUUCCUACAGCAAUGGGGAGAAACUCUCCUGGUGCAGAUCAGCAGCAGAACAGAUCAACAGAGCUGAGAGCAGGGGGAGCACGCUGGUGUAUUUUGUUCAGUGCACCACGCUGCCUUUUCCCAUGGCAGGUUGUGGGGAUGAGAGACAGGUCAGCAGCUGGCAAGGGACCUAUAGAACCUGAAUUCAACAUGUAAUGCUUUGACUGGUAGGCAAAACCUUCUAAUGCUCAGCCUGGAGCUGGACUAUAGUAGCGUUGGUUUGCUUACCUGGAAUUGCCAGCAGUUCUUGCGCAGCUCCGUGAGCCAGUACAUGAAAUACGUGGUGGGUGAUGUCCUGUGCGGCCACGGGCAGAGCUGGAUGAAGCUGCUUGGAGUCCCACCUGCUGAGAAAUUCUGAUGUCACCAAGUCAGGUUUCAUUACAAUUCACUUAAAACCAGAUUAAUGAAAAAUACAUCAAGGCUUUGAACUGGGGAUGUAAAAACAUUGUGCUUUAAGCAUUUUUCAGAAUGAAUUAUGAGUGCUGUAGAACCUUAUGAGUCCUGCUUUCUAAUACCAUGCCCCUGUUACUCUGCACAGCCUGUGUGUGCCGGACAGGCACCAUGCUCUGUGAGGCACUGGGAUCCUUUUGGUCUUGGGUUGUUCAUAUGACAUAGUUAGAGGAGAGACAGCAAGGAGACCAAUUUUAUAACCAAGAGGUAAGCGUGAAAUACAGGAGCUAGGAUCUCCAUUUCAUUGCAGAAGGAAUUGCAAUUUAAUGUCAGGUAAAUUCAAGAUGACGUUUCAAUUCAGCUCAGCAAAUUCACUGUUUCGGUUCAUGUGGAACCAACCUGAAAUGAAAUCUCCUUCUGAGAUAAUUUCCUGUGGAAUUUAUUAGGAACUUCGUUUUCUUUUGAGAACUUCAUUUUCUUUCUCUUUUGAGAAUCAUUCAUAGUGAUGAACGAUUUCGAUGUAGCUCUAGUACCGUGGCCUGGGUGACAAAUUUUAUUACAAAUUUCCACUCUUUUUCCAUCAGAGGCGACAAGAGUAAUCUAGAUCCUAACAUAAGACUGAGAACUACCUAACUAUCUUUUGAUUUUGUUUUUUUUUGUUGUUGUUGUUUUUAAAUAGUUGAUAUUUACUGUAACAAAUGUAUUUUGGUGAGCAGAUAGCAUAGUGUGACUAUCUGUGCAUGGAUGAGGGCCUGAGAAGUGUAAUAUUUGUUCAAGUAGAAUCACACGUUUGUAAGAGAUAGCUCAUGGGGUGCACAUAUUAAAGGGUAUAUGUCAGAAACAGAGUCACAAAGGCACGAAAUAGACUGCAAGUAUACCCAGUCAAAUUAAGCAGGCUUUAAUAAAUGCUUUGGGAACUCCCUAGGUACAAAACAUGACUGUACAAGAAGAUUCAGGGUCAUAAAGACAUAGCAAAUUGUUUAUUUUAAAGUUUUCCAGUUCUGUCUUAAAGGAAACAAUUUACUUGAACUGGCUCUGACAACACACAACUUAGCACAUACUAAAACUUUGAAGCUAAUGCCUGGGAAUAUGCACAAAAACCAAACUGCAAGCCACCUGCCUGCCUCCUUCUUCUCAUUGUAUUUGACUUCAACCACUGUGGAUCUGGAGGCACGUUUGAUAAGACAGCCUGGUUCCCCUCUCAUGUAGCUGUGUAAGUAGAGUAAAUCUAGAUGAUCGUCUCUAUCUUUACACAACCACCACUCCCACAGACAGCGCUGAGCCUGUUUAAAGGCUUUACACCCACCAUUUCUGAGUAUUCUGCCUGUACCUGAGAGAAGCCUUUCAUCUCUCAUCCUUCUUGGCGGAAGUGGUUAGAAGACAUAACUCUCAAAGGCAGCGUACCUGCUUGGAUAACUGAUGAACAAAAGGAAAAUAGAGCAAUAAAUAGUCACAGAGAUGUGAAAUGCACCUGCCUACACAGAUAAGUCAAAAGCAAGAGUAUUGAAAAGCCAGCGAUGCAUGCUUAGACAGAGCUAAGCAAAGUGCAGGUCACCUUCUGUGAAGCCAAGUAAAUGUUGAUAGUCUUCAGGUACCUGACCUUGGGUGAGUCUGUGGGGAUCCAACAUCCUACAUGGUGUGGAGGGCACGUUAAGGACCCCAGAAUGGAAUCAGGACCACGGUGGCACUCGCUUCCUAAGAGGGAAGCAGUUAGAUGGUAUUUAAGUGAAAGCUGGGCUGGCAUAAUGUUUUAGGGGGACUAAACUGCAGACGGAUGCCUGGGUAUGUUCAGAGACCACCCACAGGAUCAGUGACUUCAGAUAUAUUUAACUUGGCAUUGAAAGCUAGGAAGUGACAGGUUCUGCUUCAAGUUGAAUUAAUUAGUUAAAGGCAAGGCAGCAAAUCAUCAGUAGUUUCAGGAGCAGACUCAAAUUUUUAUGUACUCAGAUUCUAAUCAAGUCCUGUUUUAGCUCUGAUUAACCAUCACGUUAUCUUAAUAUAGGUACAUCCCACAGUAUUUUAAACACAACCUUCAGAUCUUGCAGUGCUUAAUUAUGCUAGAGAAAAUCAAAUCCACUCUCCUUAGCACCACAUAGUGUUUACUUUUCUCAAGAGCCACAGACUGCCAGACUUUCAGGGGUCACAUGUGUUUUAAUGUUUAGGAGAAGAAUCCUUCACUGAAGAAUUGCGGCUUGCAUGCUGGCUAAGGGUACUUGCAAAGAGCAGGAUUCUGCCAUGGGAAGUUUUAAGAGCAGUAACACUGCAGUGCUGGUGCUGAUGUAACCAAUCAGUUCACCCAAUGCAACUCAUCUGCUCCUUGGAAUACAUAUCCCAUAUAAUGAUCAGAUUAUUUGGUAAGACACUGAUCAGAUUAUCUUGAAAAGCACAGGCAUUCAUGAGAGCCAGACACUGGCUGCCCAGCACAGAUGCAUCUUAUGAUAGCUACCCAAUUACACGA